CAACAAGUUCUGGCCGUCGAUUAGGUAAAUAAUCCAAUGGCUGAUGUUAAUUUUCCCCAAGUCGCCCCUAAUUGUGAGAUAAAACCCUUGGCGGGCUUGUUUCCCCCCAUCAGACAACACUUUUCCCUUUCCCCUCCAAACAAUACUUCCCCCUUUCCCCUCCAAACCCUACCUUCUACGCCACCAGUAGUUGCAAGAAUGACGCCCUUCACGCUACUAACAGCCUCUUGUUCCAUCAAAUUCUCGGCCUUUUGAAGCAAUGUGCUGUUCAAAUCGCAAGCUUUCUGUGUGGUUUAUGUAGGUAUGAACCCUAAUCGCUUUAAUCCUUAAGAUUGAUGUUCAAAUCACAAUUAUUCAGUGUUGUUUGAUGUUCAAAUCGUAUGUAUUCUGUGUGUUCUGUUGUAAAAAUCACAAUUAGGGGGGGUAUUUUUUUAUUGUUCAGCUUGUAAUUAUCAUAUGCUUGUUCUUUGUUUAUGCAAACUUGUUCGGCUUGUAAUUAUCAUAAUGCCAGGAGAGAGGACACUCAUUCUGGGUCCUAGAAGCAGAUGGAUAAAUAGAAUUUGAUAUGACUCGCUAUUUCAGCUUUAAAUUGAUUUGAUUCCUGAACUUUAGAACAAUGUUGGAGUUAGGGGUGUUCAUCGGGUGUUUUCUUCGGGUUUCGGGUUUUUCGGGUUGGGUUGUUUGGGUUUUUCUCUGGUAAAAAAUUGACCCGAUAACCAACCCAUUUUAAAGUUUGGGUUAGUUGGUUUUAGGUUAUUCGGGUUCGGGUUAUUUCGGGUCAGGUUAUUCGGUUUUCGGGUUUAGAUGUAAAAUGAAAUAAAUGUUUUUUUUUUUUUACAAAAUAUCAUCAAAAUUCAUAUUGUUACUUUAAAAAUAUCAUCAAAGUUCAAAGAUUAGUUAACAAUAUACUAUUAUAAUAUUUAAAAGUCUCAAAACGUAGUGUUCCAUAUAUUAAAGACUCCAAAUCUAACACUUUUAUAAGAAAAAACAAUAGAUGUUCGGUUUUUUUAGGGUUUCGUGUUUCGGGUUUUUGGGUCGGGUUGUUCAGGUUUUUGGCCUUGAAAAAAUGACCGAUAACCGAACCAUUUAAAGUUCGGGUUGGUCGGGUUCGGGUUUCUCGGGUAUUCGCUAAUUCGGGUGGCUUUGAAUUCGGAUCGGGUUUUGGAUAAAAAUGAACAACCCUAGUUGGAGUACGUUAAACUUUAUUUUAACAUUACUUUUAUAUAAGAGAAUAUCAAGGUAGAUCUUUUGCAAAUGGAGGAAUGGUAGGUAGAGAGGGUGACUCAACAGGAUUACCAAUGUGGCACAAUCUUGUAAGCUUAGGAAGCACUGCAUUGAUAUGUUUGCUUCUUGAAGUUCUUUUACAGCUUUAUCAGCAUCCCAACUGAUAUUUGUCACAAAAUAUCACUUAGAUCAUACGACUUAUUAUCUAAAAUAUGCCAUGCGACUGGUAAUAUAAAUCCCAAGGUUCCACGCUUUGGGUAUUACCAGCAUUACAUGAUUAUAAGGCUUUCCAAAUGAGCAUAAAAAUAACAAAUUGUAUGUUUGAUUGGGAUUGCCCUUGUAGGAGAUUGCAUUCCACUCUUUAUUUUGGUUAUUUAUAUUGUUUGUUUCUUGUAAAAUUGUUCUAAUUUAUUAUCUUGCAGUAUAGAAGCACAGGGCCUUAAUAACUGACACUAAAACCCCUAUAUGUAUCUGAUUAUAAGAGACCUUGUGUGUACUUCCAUGUUGCAAUAGAAAACCUCAUUCAUAUAUGUAUGAGUUCAUUACACAAAUAGUCCCUAUGGUUUUAGGUAACUUUUAGUUUUGUACCGAGUUUAGGUGUUAACACUAACAGACGUUAUAUUUUAUGUUAAAUUAAGUAAAAAACUUGGUUUUAAAUUGAAUCAAUGCGCUCAUGCGUUGCGCGCUUUAAGUGCGCACAAUGCGCGCAUUUUCAAACCAUUGUUAAAAUGACCAAACUACCUUUUAUGAACUUAAGGGACUGUUUUUGUAAUUAUCUCUAAUCAAGGAUAAUUUAUGCAUGAAUGUGUAUACAUAUAUAUAUACACACUCGAAGAUAUCCAGCAACAUCACUACUAGUCACCACCGCCGUUAGUUCAGCGGGUUAUCGACACGCAAAACCCAACUAAGAAUACUGCAUUCCGGUCUGUCAAGCUUGAAUUUUCCAGAGUCAUCACGAAAGAUUGCACCGUUCAGCGGGUUAUCGACACGGAAAACGCCUGAAGCUCUGGCGACGGUUUAGAAAUGGCGAGUGUCAUGCCAAGAAGCCAUGGUGGCGAUGGUGCCGAGGAUCCCCCACCUCCUAGCGGUUUUGGGCGGGGCCAGCAUAUGGAGGAUCUUGUCGCAGCCAAGAGAAAAAAAGGGGUAAGGCUAAAAACAAAGGACUUACACAGGCGAUUGCUUUAAACAAGGGGCCAGUUUCUCUUUCAUUUGAUACAGAAGUCACUUAUAGCCCAAUUGGUACCCCUAAUGAUUGGUUCACUCGCGAAGUGGGGAGUUAUAUGUUUGGCCACUUUGCAUUCGAUAAGAGUUCUUACAACUACGUUUCUGAUGCUGAAAAGAAUGCCAUGGAUGUGCAUUAAAGGUGGCGUUUCAAUUUUACUGAAAUUGAGAAGCAUCCUAAAUGUAGACAAUUGAUGGAUGGCCUUAAUGCGGUAUACAUGAAGCAUUAUAGAAGCCGAAAAGCCAAAGCAAAAGAAGAAUUUUUAGCAAACGAAGGGGAAACUGAUGUAGCGAGAGCAAGGGCCAACAUCCCUGUGGGUAUGAGUGAAGAGAAUUGGAAUAAAACCGUAGCCUAUUUCUUGAUGAAAGAACAUAAGGACCGGUCAUGUGCCAACAAAUCAAAUCAUCAAAAGCAACUUUACACAAACCGUGGGGGAUCAUCGACAUAUAGUAGUUUUUGUUUCAAAAAAGAUAAGACCAGACUUGAAGCGUUUAAAAAUGGUCAUACUCUUAAAGAUGGAAGGUUUGCCACCGAGCUAGAGGAGCAAAAAUACAAGAAUUACAAGCAGAGUUUGAGCCCCGAAGUGAACCCAACAUAGAAGACGAAUUUGGAGAAGGUAGUUUGUCACAAGUGAAUGAAGUUCAAGUAUUUGAAAAGGUGUUUGGUGCUCGGCGCGAACAUUAUAUAGGUAUGGGGCGUAAACCUUCAUUGUCUAGAUUCACAGCACCGAGUUGCGUUGGUCCUCAUGAGAAGGAGCAAACACCUCCAGCACUUACAGAGGAUUUUCUUGAUGGUUUGUUUAAAAGCGAAAGUUUUUUAGAACGCCUCUCAAAAUUCAUGAACUCGAAGAAGGCUUCAAAGAAUGGCAAUGAAGACAACAUGGAUGAGGAUUAAGAAUGUUGAAAAAAGGAACUUGAUGUUUAUUAUGUUUUAUUUUAGACUUAUAACUUAACUAGACUAAGAAACGUGAUGUUAUUAUGGCUUAUUUUUUAUUUGAUAUUGGUUUUAUGUUUGGGUUAGAAUUGUUGGG